rnacentral:ncRNA from 2 species
CUACAAUCGGCCGCUGUUGGUGCUCGCGGUCCGUGGUUCGCACGGCCGCAGUUCAACGGGAAGCAGGAGGGUGCGCGGACCGCCCCGGUCUCCACCUAACCUGCGCUGCCCCCGCAACGGUAAGCGGAUGGCGCCCCGAGCUAUCGGGGUGCCGGCUCCGGCCUCACACCGCCACUGGCGACGCAUGCCUGCAUGCGCUGCCGGGAAGGCGAGGCGAUCACGGAGCGACCUCCGCCAGCCCGGAUACCGGCCAACGAGGCGACGUCGCC